rnacentral:rRNA from 1 species
AUGCACGCUAGCUACAGGCUUAACACAUGCAAGUCGAGGGGCAGCAUGAUUGAAGCUUGCUUCAAUCGAUGGCGACCGGCGCACGGGUGAGUAACACGUAUCCAACCUGCCGAUAACUCGGGGAUAGCCUUUCGAAAGAAAGAUUAAUACCCGAUAGUAUAGUAUUUCCGCAUGGUUUCACUAUUAAAGAACUUCGGUUAUCGAUGGGGAUGCGUUCCAUUAGAUAGUUGGCGGGGUAACGGCCCACCAAGUCAACGAUGGAUAGGGGUUCUGAGAGGAAGGUCCCCCACAUUGGAACUGAGACACGGUCCAAACUCCUACGGGAGGCAGCAGUGAGGAAUAUUGGUCAAUGGACGAGAGUCUGAACCAGCCAAGUAGCGUGAAGGAUGACUGCCCUAUGGGUUGUAAACUUCUUUUAUACGGGAAUAAAGUGGAGUAUGCAUACUCCUUUGUAUGUACCGUAUGAAUAAGGAUCGGCUAACUCCGUG